GUUUAAAAAGCUCGGGGCUGUACUUCCCACUACAUGGCGAUGUCUGCGUCCAAGGCUCUGACGUUUGUUUUGCUGACGAUGACCAUCCUUUUCAUAAAUGAGAUAUCCGCCAUUACAUCCUGUGGCAGCAAGUGUCGCUUUGCCUCGGAUGGAAAAGUGUGGGGCUGCCCCAAAAGCUGCAAAUGUGUCCGAGAGAGCAAAGGCAUUGGCGAAAGCGGCAUGGGCACGUGUCAGCGCGGCUAACCGCCAGGUGCUGCCAGCCACUACAUUUAUCGCCACCCUCUAACAACGAAUAAAAGUGAAUAAAAGAAUGAAUGAA